rnacentral:lncRNA from 1 species
CCUGUCCAGCUGUUACUUGAUCGUUCCUGUUACCUUCUUGAGCGGUGGACAAUCCGAAGAAGAGGCCUCGGUGAACUUGAAUGCCAUCAGGAAGGAUUUCGGGCUCAACAAUCGAACGCAUCUCCACUUGGCGAAAUGACAGCUAUCCUUCUGUACUGGACGCAACGUGCUUGGAGGUGAACUAUCUGGAGUGGUUAUCGGUGAACCCAACAGUGUAGCUGGUAAAGAUUUACUUCCUUUAUUUAGAUUUAUUUCUUCUUCGACCAGUGUCACAGAAGAUUGUGGUUUGUUAAACUUAUUAGACAUCAUUUGGUUAGCUACAUGAACAA